rnacentral:rRNA from 1 species
GUUGACCUCGGAUCAGGUAGGGAUACCCGCUGAACUUAAGCAUAUCAAUAAGCGGAGGAAAAGAAACCAACAGGGAUUGCUCUAGUAACGGCGAGUGAAGCAGCAAUAGCUCAAAUUUGAAAUCUGGCGUCUUCGGCGUCCGAGUUGUAAUUUGUAGAGGAUGCUUCUGAGUAACCACCGACCUAAGUUCCUUGGAACAGGACGUCAUAGAGGGUGAGAAUCCCGUAUGCGGUCGGAAAGGUGCUCUACACGUAGCUCCUUCGACGAGUCGAGUUGUUUGGGAAUGCAGCUCUAAAUGGGAGGUAAAUUUCUUCUAAAGCUAAAUAUUGGCCAGAGACCGAUAGCGCACAAGUAGAGUGAUCGAAAGAUGAAAAGCACUUUGGAAAGAGAGUUAAAAAGCACGUGAAAUUGUUAAAAGGGAAGGGAUUGCAACCAGACUUGCUCGCGGUGUUCCGCCGGUCUUCUGACCGGUCUACUCGCCGCGUUGCAGGCCAGCAUCGUCUGGUGCCGCUGGAUAAGACUUGAGGAAUGUAGCUCCCUCGGGAGUGUUAUAGCCUCUUGUGAUGCAGCGAGCGCCGGGCGAGGUCCGCGCUUCGGCUAGGAUGCUGGCGUAAUGGUCGUAAUCCGCCCGUCUUGAAACACGGACCAAGGAGUCUAACAUCUAUGCGAGUGUUCGGGUGUCAAACCCCUACGCGUAAUGAAAGUGAACGGAGGUGAGAACCGCAAGGUGCAUCAUCGACCGAUCCUGAUGUCUUCGGAUGGAUUUGAGUAUGAGCAUAGCUGUUGGGACCCGAAAGAUGGUGAACUAUGCCUGAAUAGGGUGAAGCCAGAGGAAACUCUGGUGGAGGCUCGCAGCGGUUCUGACGUGCAAAUCGAUCGUCAAAUUUGGGUAUAGGGGCGAAAGACUAAUCGAACCAUCUAGUAGCUGGUU